CUUCAAUAUCAAGCAUGCGAUUUUUGUAAUACUCGAUAUUUUUCAGAUUCUGUUCAUUUUCCUCAGCAAGGCGUUCAUACUCUUCAUUGGUCACUCCAGGAACUGUAGAUGAUUCCAGCAUAACAAAGUGGCCCAGCCCUCUAGAAGAGCCAGACCUAUGUCCCAAAACCUCCCUAAAAAUGGCUGCUGCUGCUUCAUCAGUGCGAUACUUUGGUUCUUUUGCAUUCAUCAAUUCAACCAUUUGAUUCUGUGUUGGGCAAAAAUGCUGAACUUACAUCAUCUGGAGGUUGAGUGGAGUCAUCAGAUUCCACCUCCCUUUCAUCUUUGAGAGUCCAACCUCUCGGUGCUUCUGGUUGCAAGUGUUGUCCAAUAGGAGGCAACACUCGUGGCCCUGGUCCCACUAUUCCUCCACCUCUCCCUCUAUUUGCAAGAACCAUUUCCCUAGCACGCAAUUCCUACUCAGAUUAGUGGUAUGGAUACAAAAGUUUUAAUGUGCAGAAUGUGCAAAAGGAGUGUAAGAAAAUGGCCAACCAAUUUGUUCAGGACUGCUGUGAGGAAGCUUGCCUUCGACCAGAGGAUUCCAAUAUCCAAAACAGAGUUAAGCCUUCACCAAUAUCUAAACCGGACAACAGAAAUAUGCACAGCCAAUUUCUACUCCUUCAGGACUGAAUUGAGCAGAGUGGCUUCAACAGUGUUUUCUACCAGCUCAUAAUGCCUACA